rnacentral:pre_miRNA from 12 species
AAGGGUGUCGAAGUCUCAAUUCCGUAGUGCAUUGCAGUGCAUCCUGCCCCCUGCAAGCAGUGCGGAAGUGAGGCAGCGGCACCCGCAAUCCA